UGAAGCUUUACUGGAGCUGUUACAAGAGCGCCAGUUCCCGGUUGGUGAAUUGUAUCCUCUGGCCAGCGAGCGUAGCGCCGGAGCUACGG
rnacentral:tRNA from 1 species